rnacentral:rRNA from 1 species
GCGCAUCUGUGCAUGCAGCAUAUCAAUAAGCGGAGGAAAAGAAACUAACAAGGAUUCCCUUAGUAACGGCGAGUGAAGCGGGAAGAGCUCAAAUUUGAAAUCUUCAAGGUUUUACCUUGACGAAUUGUAGUUUAAAGAAGUGUUUUCUGUUGAAGUUUUGGUAAAAGUUCUUUGGAAUAGGACAUCAUAGAGGGUGAGAAUCCCGUAUUUGACCAUUAUUUUCAGCUGUGUGAUACACUUUCAAAGAGUCGGAUUGUUUGGGAAUGCAGUCCAAAAUGGGUGGUAAAUUUCAUCUAAAGCUAAAUAUUGGCGAGAGACCGAUAGCGAACAAGUACCGUGAGGGAAAGAUGAAAAGAACUUUGAAAAGAGAGUUAAACAGUACGUGAAAUUGUCAAAAGGGAAGCGUUUGACACCAGUGUUGUUUUCUCGAAAAUCAAUUAAAAAGAGUUUGAUUUUGUUGUGUAUUGACCUUAACAGCUUGCAUUUCAAUUUUCUUGCUUUUUUUAAUGCACUUUUCGUUUAACAAGUCAACAUCAGUUUCUUUUGUUGUAAAAAGGUCAUUGGAAGGUGGCUUUCUUUUCGGAGAAAGUGUUUAUAGCCUUUGACUCCUGCAAUCGGAGAGACUGAGGUCUGCAGCGUAGAUCCUUCGGGGUUAGAUACAUUUGUGCUAAGUUAUAGCUUUUUAUAGACAACUUGUUGACUAUGAUUAGUCUUGUAGCUUACUCGCUUAUGCUAUUUUACCUACGCUUAGGAUGUUGACGCGCGUGUGUGCGUGAGUCUAUACAUGACUCUGCGCAUAUCAAUAAGCGGAGGAAAAGGUACCUACGCUUAGGAUGUUGACGCGCGUGUGUGCGUG